UAAUACGUAGGAGGCAAGCGUUAUCCGGAUUUAUUGGGCGUAAAGAGGGCGUAGGCGGUCUUUCAAGUUGGAUGUGAAAUCUCCCGGCUCAACUGGGAGGGGGCAUUCAAUACUGUUAGGCUAGAGGGCAGCAGGGGGAGGUGGAAUUCCCGGUGUAGUGGUGAAAUGCGUAGAUAUCGGGAGGAACACCAGUGGCGAAGGCGGCCUCCUGGGCUGUUGCUGACGCUGAGGCCCGAAAGCGUGGGGAGCAAACAGGAUUAGAUACCCUGGUAGUCCACGCUGUAAACGAUGGACACUAUGUAUAGGGAGUAUCGACCCUCUCUGUGCUGAAGCUAACGCUUUAAGUGUCCCGCCUGGGGAGUACGGCCGCAAGGCUA
rnacentral:rRNA from 1 species